CAAGAUUGUUUAAUCUGGUUUCAGUCAUUGUAGACCGCAAGUAAUUUUUAAUUAAUUUUAAUUUGCUGAAACUUCUCUCACAUGAAGCGACUGAUGCACAUAUUGUCAUAAAUAACUUUAAUGCAACCAUUAGAUUCGGAAGAGAAGCUGUAAAGUCCCAUUCCACAAUGAAUUUCUAUUAAAGUGCUGCUCAUUAAGCUUUAAAAUUUAUAUGUAGCUUAAAUGCUAACACAACACCCUAAUUACAUGAAAGUAACAAAAAAACUUUUAUACAACACCCUAUUUUCUAGAGCAGCGUUGUCCACGGCCUAUGAGCACAAUAGCGCACGGACAGUGCCAGACACCUCACACCAACAUGUCGCGACAAGUGUUUGUGAAAGCACGAUUGUGCUACUGUAUUCAACUUCGUAGGCAAGCAAAGAAGAAUUUUGCGAUCAGUUGACGCUAGAAUAACCAACACAAGCAUAACGUGCACACAGUCACGUUGGACAACACUGCUGUAUAUACUGAGAUUGACAGUGUGCACAUUGUUUUGUUUUUAAAUACUCGUAUCAAUUUAUUAUGCUCGUGGUACGAUAUUAUAGUUACCUAGAUUAUUUGAUUAGUGGCGGUUAUGCCACAGAUUUACGAUUUUUUAUAGGUAGAACUGAUUGUCAUAGUCGGGCUCGGGUGUCACCCCUAACCGGGUGACACCCGGGGCGGACCGCCCCUGCCGCCCUCCCCUAGCUACGCCACUGAUGGUAAGACAGCACACGCAUCUGAUGAGCAAUAAGAUGAAGGACCGGUUUGAUCAAGCGGCAAAUUCAAAAGGUUUUGAAGAAGGUGAUCUGGUCCUGUUGUACAAUUCACUUCGAAAGAAAGGCUUGUCCCCGAAAUUGCAGACAGUCUGGGAAGGGCCCUAUAUGGUGAUGAAACGACUUAAUGACGUGGUAUACCGCAUACAAAGAAAUGGAAAAGCACGAUGUAAAAUGAAAGUAGUACAUUUGGAGAGAGAGGAUUUGUACCUAAUCGGGACGAUUAGGCUUAAGUGGAGGGCAGUUUUACAAAAGUGGUAUUAAGUUUGGUAUUUGUAUCGCUAUAUGCAUCCCUUAUUAUAAACAUUGGGCGCCGCGUUUGUCUACUUAAACAAUAGCUACAUUUUGCGCCGCAGCUGUCUGCAUUGUCUACUUAAACAAUAGCUGCAUUUGGCGCCGCAGCUGUCUGCAUUGUCUACUUAAACAAUAGCUGCAUUUGGCGCCUUAUAGCAUUAUGUUCUUAUAAUUGUCAGACGCAAUAUUCUAGGAGGACACUUCGGCAUCAGCAAGGAGUGCGUGGCUAUAUAAGCCGUGACAGCCCCAACGUAAUCAUCCAGUUCUAAGAGUAAACUGCUAUAGUGUAGACGAAUCCUGAAAUAAAGAGAUUUUGUUAAGUUGAAUUUAACAGUUUUUGGUUUUAUUGGUCAAUCCAGAGAUACGAACCUAGUAAAGUAAACUAGUAAGGAGUAAAUUCGUAACAAUACGUUUUACCAGCAAAGUCGUCGCCAACACAACGGGUAAGUGCCGAGAGGCUUUUCUACAAAGGAAGACUUCUAUUUUUUCCAUGGUCCUUCGAAGCCGUACCGGACGGCAGUAGUGGUAACAAAAAAAAAUAAAAAAUAAAAUAAAAAUAAAUAAAAUAAAGUAUUAAUAAUAAUAAAAAUCGGUCACGGUAACGCGGUAACUAAAACAAAAAAAGUGUUGGUGAAUAACCCAGAGUGUAAAACCGUUUAAACAGGCCGUUAACAGGCCAGAACCAGUUGAAAAAAGUGCAAAAAUUUGUGGAAAACAACGGUAGGGAUGUGAAACAUUUUAAAACGGUUACAAAAUAAGCCGUUGGUGGAUAUAUACUAUACAUACAUAUAAAAAAGUGAAAAGACAACGGUGGUGAGGUGACACAAUUAGGAAAACCUUUGGUGGGUACAUAUAAAAAAAAAAGUUUGUUAAAAUUGCUGAAAAUAACGGUGGUGACACGGUUUAAAUAAAACCCAACAUAUUGGAAAAAAAAAAGUUUUCAUAUCUACAUACAAUAUGUAUGUAUGUAUGUACAUACUAAGAAAAAAAAACCCAAAAAGAAUAAGCUACAUUACGUGUGCAUAUGAGUGCUGUAUAAAAUUUAAACAAAGUGAGGUGACAAAGUGCAGUGUUAAAAUUAAUAUACACAUACAAUACACAUACGAGUAUGUACAUAUGUAAGGUGAAGUUGACACGGCCCACAAGCGAAAAAGAAAAAAAAUAAUAAUAAUAACUAAAAAGAGGGAUAACAAAAAGUGCGGUGAAGUGAGAAAGAGCAGAGUAAAAGAAAAAAUUAAGACCUGCUAUAUACAUGCAUAUAUACAUCUAAGCGGUGAUACCCUGCCAACAUUUGAAAGUGUCUUUUAUCGCCAACGCCAAAUACGUCACGCUUUAGUUACUUCCGUACGUUAAAAUAAAGAUAGUUGUCACGUUCACGUGUCAAACGCCAAAUGCGUCACUUUUAAGUCACUUCCAGACGUUAAAUUAAAAAUUGUUGUCUCGUUAUGCAAAAGAUAAACAAUCAAUGAACGCGAUCACCGACGUUGAAGUCGCAGCAACUGCAAAAUGAAAUUAGAUGAAAACAACAGAAUAGAAAAAGAAGUUGUUGACAUUUGACAUCUGGUUCAUUGGUUUUGUGUCUUCUGCAGUUUGUGGUCAGUGCUAAAGUGCGAUAUUUUUUUUGGAACUAGUAAAAUUAUUUGUUUCGUGAUGUUUUAAUUUGAAAUAUUAUUGAAAAUAUAAUUAAAAUGAGUCAGCAAAGGCUAUUAAAUUGAAAAAUAAAAGAGAAGCAUCUAAAUUAAUAUGCAAUAUUAAUGAGAGCAUAUAUAGCGGCAGUAAUGAAGUUAAAAAAAUAAAUGUCGAUGAAGGUCAUUGUAAAGAAAGUUCAAAAGAAAGUUGUGAACCCAGUGUUUCGAGCAAUGUUAAUAAAUGUAAUGAUAGUGUUUUUUUGUCAAGUGAUUGCUCAAGUGAGUUUGAGGAUUUUAGAGAAGAAAUAAGUAAAACUGAGGAAAUGAAUAUAACAGAAAAGUUACGAAAAAACGAUCUUGCAAGAGUUACGUUCUUUGCAAACAAAAUUUGAAAAAUUCGAAGAAACUAAUACAAAAAUAAUAAAAACUUUGACGGAAGAAGUCGUUGCGUUAAAAACCGAAGUCAAGCAGCAAAGAAAUAUGCGUGAGAAGGAUGAUACGUCUCUAAUACCUUCCUUUCCUUUCAUGGAUGUCAAGGACUUUAUUGAUUUUGACACGAAGCUGCUGUUGAGCGACAAAAUAACAUCUCAGCUGAAAAAUAUCAUAUAUAGAGUUGGAGGAAAGGAUUUCCCUUCAUUCCUAAGAAUGGCAUUGAAAUCCAUUAUAUCGGAUGCUAUGGCCGUUAAUUUAACUUGGCGUGGAACAAAUGACAAACCCAGUAUCCAACGCUUUACAACAUUUGCACUAAUAAAAAAUGCCUGUCAUUCCAAAUAUUCGAACUCGACCGAUAUGGAUAUAAAUAAAGUGUGUCAACAGCACAUACUUCACGCCCGAGACAGAGUACAAAAAAAAAACAAACAAACAAUUAAUGAACUGAAAAAUUAAAAAAAAUCUUAUUUCUAAUAUUCACUUGAAUUAAUUAUUUAUUUUUUUUUGUAAUACAUUUUUGAAUUGAAAUAAAUAUAAAAAAAUUAAAAACGAAAAUUUUAACUUCCACAAGUCACUAAUACGUAACUUCCACAAGGCACUAAUACGUAACUUCUGAAAGUAACGUCCGCGGGGAACAACUUCUCAAUAAGGAAGUGACUUCUACGAUGAAAAAAAUGUAUCGCAGACGUUGAAUUGUAACUUCUUGAAGUCACUUAUAAGUGACUUUUGCGAUAGAAAAUGUUGGCAGGGUAGUGGAGUGACAUAUAACCUGCAAACAAAAGGAAAAAAGGAAUACAAAAAAUACAAGCUACAACACCAGCAACAAAACGACAGGAGAACUGGAAAAGCAAGCGAAGCACAAUUAUAGGCAAACUCACACCACGCACACAUCAGAUACAUACGUAAACUCACAAUAUCCCUAAAAGCCCCUGGCGGAAAGCAAAGAGAGUUGCAUCUAGAUAAGUUUGUAACAAAUAGAUACAUAUCGUCACCUGAAAUGCAAAAUAACGUAUCAUCAAAGAAAUCGAAAUUGAGUGUCUUAUUGAAUACGCUUCACUACUUCAAAUUAUAUACAUAAUAUUGCAUAUUUUCUGGUUCUGCGGUCAUAUAUAAACCAGUCUUAACCAAUAUUAAUAUUUUGUUUCACUCAGGUUCGAUUUUAUUUCGUGUUUCAUUCAUGCGACUGUAAAUUUCUGAAAAUGUUGUUACGUUUUUUUGCAUUUCAGGUGACGAUAUGUAAGUAUGUAUUUCUAUUUGUACUUUGGGAAUCUUUAUAUUGUCUAAAUGGUUAUCACGCACAUUUGAAAUAAAAACACCGCAUCACUUAAGUGUGUAAUAUAAAAUAUAGUUUAUUAAAGAAAUAUUUAACUUUACACAAAUGUUCCUUUCCUUAAAAUUAAAUGUUACAAUUAUUUAGGGAACCAAUGCAGCGAAAAUAGCGCGCCGGAUAACUUGCGGUCGAAGUUCAAACUCUAGCGCGGGAGACGGGUGUUACAAACGGAAAAUCAUCGUUUCAUUUCAAUUUAUAUAUUAUAUGUAUACAUAUAUGUAUGAUUUGAUAUCAGAAAAUUAAAUUUGCGGUCUGACCAAAAUUCCGGUCGGAAAAGUAUUGAAAACCGUUUCCAAACUGUUUUCGGUAUUCGGUUUAUUUUACGGUAAAAACCGAAAAGCGCUAACAAAGCAGUUUGGUACUGUAUACAGCGGAUUAGUGAUUGCCGGUAAAUGCUUACCGUUGUGUUAUAACACAAAAAUCACCUCAAUACCAAUAAAAAAAAAAUUUUGUUCAAGUAUUCAAGUAUUUACUUGCAGUAAUUUCCAGCAAGACCCCUUAUACUUAAUCAAAUAUAACAGUGAUGCCCAGACGCACACUACCAAACUGUGUGCUUGUGUUGGAGUAUGAGAGAGCUUGCUGCUACACCCAAAAAAAAUACAAAACUUUAGUAUUAAUUAAUAUAAAAAAAAUUUGAAAGUGAUUCGACAACUUUUACAACUUUUACAAAAUUCUGAAAUUAAUGAAAUUCCUUAUUAUUUUUUAUCAAUUACAAAAAUAAAGACAAUUCACCUGUCAAAAAGAAAUUAAAAUUCAAAAAAUUUUAAAUAUUGCAUUUAUGUUGAAGUUUUCACCUAAACGGCUGUAUGAAAAAACGAAAAAUCAAUAUUUUCAUGGUUUUGAACCAAAAUUGUUAAUCAGCGCGCACAUACAAAUUACAUGCGUAGCAGUCAACAGUCGUUGAUCAAGUGAUUUUCAAAUGCACAUUAAUUUUCCACAAUGUAUAGAGAGCGCUUGACUAAUACGUGUGAGCAAAUCUGUGAGAGAGCAAUAAAGUCGGCCGCCCGCGGGCUAGGUAAAGCGCUUCACUGAAAUAUAAGCAGGAUUGCUUAAAAUAAGCUACGGCAAUCACAAGAGGAAAAAAAAUUAAAAGCAUAUGCGCAAAUAAAAUUGUAUACGUACAUACAUAUUAGAGUGUGCCAUUCUGAGGCAACCUUUUUUUUCAACUGAAAAACAGGCUCAAGACUUUCGAAAAUGUGCAAAAAAAAGUCACUCAAAAGAUGAGCUCUUAAUAUUAAUAUUAAGAGGUGCCUAUUUCAAAUUUUCUGUUUUCCAUAUAAAUUACAUGGAAAAAAAAUCAUUUUUUUUUGUGGUGGUUAUUGGGCGGAGGUUUUAUAUGUGCCCCGAUGGCUGCCAGUAGGGAUGGUAAGCUCGAUCCCGAAUCUACUCGAGAAUCGAGUUUUCUCGUAAAAUAAUCGAUUUUUCGAAU